rnacentral:tRNA from 1 species
GCAAACGGCCGGCAUGGGCUCCGCCCUUUCACGGCGGUAGCGCCGGUUCGAAUCCGGUAGGGGGUGCA